rnacentral:rRNA from 1 species
GACGAACCGUGCGAACGUUGUUCGGAAUCACUGGGCUUAAAGGGCGCGUAGGCGGGCUUGCCGGUCCGGGGUGAAAGCCCCCAGCUCAACUGGGGAAGCGCCUUGGAUACCGCAAGUCUGGAGGGAGGUAGGGGCGUGCGGAACUUCCGGUGGAGCGGUGAAAUGCGUAGAUAUCGGAAGGAACACCGGUGGCGAAAGCGGCGCGCUGGACCUCUUCUGACGCUGAGGCGCGAAAGCCAGGGGAGCAAACGGG